GCCCAGGUGGUGGAAUUGGUAUACACACAUGGUUGAGGGCCAUGGCACUUCGUGCGUGCGGGUUCGAGUCCCGCCCUGGGCACCA
rnacentral:tRNA from 1 species